GGGUUGUGAGGUUAAGCGACUAAGCGUACACGGUGGAUGCCCUGGCAGUCAGAGGCGAUGAAGGACGUGCUAAUCUGCGAUAAGCGCCGGUAAGGUGAUAUGAACCGUUAUAACCGGCGAUUUCCGAAUGGGGAAACCCAGUGUGAUUCGUCACACUAUCAUUAACUGAAUCCAUAGGUUAAUGAGGCGAACCGGGGGAACUGAAACAUCUAAGUACCCCGAGGAAAAGAAAUCAACCGAGAUUCCCCCAGUAGCGGCGAGCGAACGGGGAGGAGCCCAGAGCCUGAAUCAGCAUGUGUGUUAGUGGAAGCGUCUGGAAAGGCGCGCGAUACAGGGUGACAGCCCCGUACACAAAAGCGCAUGUGCUGUGAGCUCGAUGAGUAGGGCGGGACACGUGGUAUCCUGUCUGAAUAUGGGGGGACCAUCCUCCAAGGCUAAAUACUCCUGACUGACCGAUAGUGAACCAGUACCGUGAGGGAAAGGCGAAAAGAACCCCGGCGAGGGGAGUGAAAAAGAACCUGAAACCGUGUACGUACAAGCAGUGGGAGCACCCUUCGGGGUGUGACUGCGUACCUUUUGUAUAAUGGGUCAGCGACUUAUAUUCUGUAGCAAGGUUAACCGUAUAGGGGAGCCGGAGGGAAACCGAGUCUUAAUUGGGCGUUAAGUUGCAGGGUAUAGACCCGAAACCCGGUGAUCUAGCCAUGGGCAGGUUGAAGGUUGGGUAACACUAACUGGAGGACCGAACCGACUAAUGUUGAAAAAUUAGCGGAUGACCUGUGGCUGGGGGUGAAAGGCCAAUCAAACCGGGAGAUAGCUGGUUCUCCCCGAAAGCUAUUUAGGUAGCGCCUCGUGAAUUCAUCUCCGGGGGUAGAGCACUGUUUCGGCUAGGGGGCCAUCCCGGCUUACCAACCCGAUGCAAACUGCGAAUACCGGAGAAUGUUAUCACGGGAGACACACGGCGGGUGCUAACGUCCGUCGUGAAGAGGGAAACAACCCAGACCGCCAGCUAAGGUCCCAAAGUCAUGGUUAAGUGGGAAACGAUGUGGGAAGGCCCAGACAGCCAGGAUGUUGGCUUAGAAGCAGCCAUCAUUUAAAGAAAGCGUAAUAGCUCACUGGUCGAGUCGGCCUGCGCGGAAGAUGUAACGGGGCUAAACCAUGCACCGAAGCUGCGGCAGCGAACGUAUCACCCAAGACAACUUUACGGAGUUGACGAUUGACGGAGCGAAGCGACGUCAAAGCGUUCAUUAAAGUCGAGUUGGCUUAGGGAUACGUUCGUUGGGUAGGGGAGCGUUCUGUAAGCCUGUGAAGGUGUGUCGUGAGGCAUGCUGGAGGUAUCAGAAGUGCGAAUGCUGACAUAAGUAACGAUAAAGCGGGUGAAAAGCCCGCUCGCCGGAAGACCAAGGGUUCCUGUCCAACGUUAAUCGGGGCAGGGUGAGUCGACCCCUAAGGCGAGGCCGAAAGGCGUAGUCGAUGGGAAACGGGUUAAUAUUCCCGUACUUGGUGUUACUGCGAAGGGGGGACGGAGAAGGCUAUGUUGGCCGGGCGACGGUUGUCCCGGUUUAAGCGUGUAGGUGUGUGUUCCAGGUAAAUCCGGUUCACUUUAACACUGAGGCGUGACGACGAGGCACUACGGUGCUGAAGCAACAAAUGCCCUGCUUCCAGGAAAAGCCUCUAAGCAUCAGGUAACACGAAAUCGUACCCCAAACCGACACAGGUGGUCAGGUAGAGAAUACCAAGGCGCUUGAGAGAACUCGGGUGAAGGAACUAGGCAAAAUGGUGCCGUAACUUCGGGAGAAGGCACGCUGACACGUAGGUGAAGUGAUUUACUCAUGGAGCUGAAGUCAGUCGAAGAUACCAGCUGGCUGCAACUGUUUAUUAAAAACACAGCACUGUGCAAACACGAAAGUGGACGUAUACGGUGUGACGCCUGCCCGGUGCCGGAA
rnacentral:rRNA from 2 species